CCAGAAGCACCGAAGGUUUCUGCUGAGCCGCGCGACGGGGGGACAUCAAAGGAAGAGGAGCGAGGCACCCAGCUGUCUGUCAAGAUGAAGGACGUGUGUCACUUGGUGGAGGACUGGGAGUGCCAGCAGCUACAGGAGCCGGUCCAGCUGGAGGAGCUGCCCAUCGACCCGGCCCCCUACCGCCUGCUGGAGAAGGAGACCCUC